AGUUCACCAAAAUGUCACUUGAUUGCCCCCCAAGAUAAUACCUGGGGAGGUUUAUGUGAAGUUAAUUUGACUGCCUAGUUGUUAGCCUUCUUUCCUGGAGCCAGGUCAUCUAAAGAAAGUAAAUGAGGGAGGUCUUUUUGCUGGAUGAAGCAGGAAGAAGAGUAGAAAGUGUGAGGCUUCGAACAAAUGAAUUAGAAGGACAACCACUCCACCAUUGUUCACCACCCCUUUGUGCACUAGUUGAAGACAGCAAUGGAGAACUGU
rnacentral:lncRNA from 1 species